AGAAUACAGGAAACUUAGGCAAAUUGUUGCACCACAUGGAUAUGAGAAAUAAUGAAUAUUAUUUACUCGGAUUCAGGAAACAUAUAUCCAAGCUGAGCAAUUUAGGACACUUCACUGAAGAGACAGAGACAUGAGGUGUACAUUCAACUGAAGUGUCACUGUAAUUGUGUACCUUCUCAGUUACUGGGCAAGUUAAUGAACAUGAUGAAUGUUUGCAGUAUAAUGGUGUAAAUCAUUUGGAUAUCUUGCAUAAAAGACAAGUGGGUGCAUGUGCCACCUGCUUUGAGAUUUUCCCAGGUGAUUGAGUUUCCCCUCUGAUUUUUGAUCACAUUUGUCGUGAUCACUUGGGAUACCCUUUUUGAUAUUGACACUAAUUUAUUUUCUUUUAGAUAUACGAGAAAUCAUAUUAUGUUUGAAAUAGUUAGGAAUAUAUCGUGACACAUCAAUGCCUGUUUUCUUUAGUAUAUUUCUGUCAUGCUCCUGGCUUAAGACAUAAAGUAGAAAACAUCAAAGCCUACACUAAUACAGGCAGGCGGAUACAGCUUGAUGCUAACACCGCAUGAAUGUAUGGAAAACUUUAUCAUAUUUACAUAUGAGUGAUUAUCCCUUUUGCUUUUCAGUGUCUUCUCAGAAACAACCAGCCUUGAAGGUAAUUAAACUUUCAUUUAUAUUGUGAACAAGUAAAUCUAUAGUCUAUGAAACAUGCUUCAUUUAUUUAUUUAUUUAUUAUUUUCUUUCAAAUUCCAUUCAGGCUACAACUGACGAGGAAGAUUCUGUUUCGAAUAUAGCCACAGAAAUAAAGGAUGGAGAAAAAUCUGGGACAGUGUCUUCUCAGAAACAACCAGCCUUGAAGGCUACAACUGACGGGGAAGAUUCUGUUUCGAUUAUAGCCACAGAAAUAAAGGAUGGAGAAAAAUCUGGGACAGGUAUCAGCAAACAGAUAUCCAAGGUGAUCAAUUCAGGACACUUCCACUGAAGAGAUGUGAAGUUGUCUUCUCGGCAAAAAGCAGCCUUGAAGGUAAUAAAACUCUCAUUUAUAUU
rnacentral:lncRNA from 1 species